AUGGAGGUCAUGAUCGGGGUGAUGAGCACCCUCCUGCCCAUGCUUGGCAACCUGCUCAAGGAGGAGUAUAAGCUGCAGAAGAACACCAGGGGCGAGAUCAAGUUCCUCAAAGCCGAGUUAGAGAGCAUGGAAGCUGUCCUCAUCAAGGUUUCGGAGGCACCACUGGAUCAGCCACCUGACAUUCAGCAGAAGGAGCCGCACAGCUUCAUGGGUUUCAUCCACAAGCAUCGACAUGCUGACAAAGGGGAACAUCCGAAGAUUGGCAUCGAUAUCAAAGAUGUCCAGAGCCGCAUCAAGGAGUUCAGCGAGAGGCGUGAUAGAACUCACAUGGAAAUGAUGGUCGAAGGAUUUGUUCAUGAAGAGCAUGGAAAGAACUUGUAUAAAGAUAACUUCCUGACAACAAUGGUUGUCAGCAGCCUAGGUCACUACCAAGCAAUGUCUGUCGACUAUGUCUCCAAAGCAGUAAAGAAGAGGAUGUCAAGCAGAUGCCAACCAUGCACAGUCAAUAUCUAG
rnacentral:rRNA from 1 species